CAGUCGCCACGGUAAUACGAAGGGUGCAAGCGUUAAUCGGAAUUACUGGGCGUAAAGCGUGCGUAGGCGGUUUGUUAAGUCUGUUGUGAGAUCCCCGGGCUCAACCUGGGAAUGGCAAUGGAUACUGGCAAGCUAGAGUGUGUCAGAGGAUGGUGGAAUUCCCGGUGUAGCGGUGAAAUGCGUAGAGAUCGGGAGGAACAUCAGUGGCGAAGGCGGCCAUCUGGGACAACACUGACGCUGAGGCACGAAAGCGUGGGGAGCAAACAGGAUUAGAUACCCCAGUAGUCCCUGUCUCUUAUAC
rnacentral:rRNA from 1 species